UCUCCCUGAAUAUUUGUUUAGGUCAAAACUAUCAGUUUGCUAAGCUGAGGACGACUUCUUGUAUGCUGUUACCUGGAUGUUACUUGUUGUUUGUCUAAAUUAAAAUAAUUGUUGAUAUUUAUAUAGGCUGUAUAGUGACAGUUUACCAUCUACAUCAGUGAUAAAGAGGCAAAAACCUGAAAGGCUAAUCAUGCUCUCUGUCGUAGUUUUUGGCCUCUGAAUCUUAAUCUUAGAAAAGAGUCCAAAAGUUGCUAUGAAGUUCAGAGAUUUGAUAUUAAAACCUUUGUGUGAAAGAGUUAGUGGUCUUGUGUUUCCCAUUAAACAGAAAUUCUCUAUGCAAAACCCACAACAUCCAGCCAACACUUCCUCCAGCCCAAAUUUAGACUGUCAGCACGUAUGCUUAGAACAAAAUGGAUGUGGAAAGGAUAUUGUGUCUCACCGCUAAAAACGGUCCCUUUUAGCUUGGGUAUUAUGCUUGUUUCCUAAGUAUCUGUAGGCUCCAUAAUUAGAAUCAAAAUAACUGCACUGCAAAUAAGCAAUGGAGCAAGGUCUACAAGCACCUGCACAGCCAUGGUUACUAUUCCAAACUGCCUCCAUAUACUGAAUGUGAGACGUUUCUUAGGAAUGUCCUGGGACAUCUAGACCCUCUUGGAUCACUGGCUUCAGCUCCAUCGUGACAUCCCAAAACAUACUACGGUGGUAAUGUUGUAUUGACCACCGAACCCCGCUGAAGCAUGGAGCUGGCCUUCACUGAGUGGAGGGUCAGAGCAGAGUUGAAACAGCAUAUGGAAAACCACAAAGCUUCUAGAGCCUUUUUGUGUUCAUUAUGUGAUCAAGCAUUCAAAACCAGGCAUCGCAAAUACAUCCGUCAGAAAAAUAAAGUGGAAGAGAAGAAAAGAAGAAAGAAGGCUGAGGAUUGUCCUGUGUUCCACAACACAAAAGCAACUAAAACAAAGGAGAAUUCAAGUGAAUUUUGCUUGCAGCCCCUGCAGUAGGAAUGGCCAAUAUUAGAGCAAAACUGUAUUUUGUUUGUUAUGCUCCAGGUAGUUCUGUAGAUCUUCAUUGCAGAGCAAUUAAUAGAGAACUGUACAAAUGUAGUCAAAGGCAUUUUUUGGUCCUCCCCGCCCCCUCGCCUUUUAAAACUUGUCCACAGAUAGCCUAAACAAAAAAUUAUGUAUGCUGUUCAAGUAGUGGUGUCUUCUACAUGGUCUGUGAUAGUACUGCUCUUCUGAAUAAAGAAAUGGGCCGACUGAAAGGUUUUCUCUUU
rnacentral:lncRNA from 1 species